AACUCAUAUUUAUCUUCAAGAUACUGCAUAGCCCGGUCAAAUUCUUGCAACCCGUGGUAUCUUAAAUAAUCCGCAUCUCCCAGGUCAAAUCUCCGUCUGCAUUUAUCAUAACUGAAUUGGUUUCCGGGAAUUACUGAGCCAUCAGGGAGGUGUUGCUCAGCCCUAGGGAAAUCAAUCCACUCAGGGUGGCCGAAUUCAUUUCCCAUGAAAUUUAGGUACCCUUCUCCUCCUAAUCCCAUAGUUACAAGCCUAAUCAUCUUGUGCAAUGCUAUUCCACGAUCUAUUAAUGGUGUUGACGGUCUAUCCAGAGCCA
rnacentral:misc_RNA from 1 species